CGAGAACGUUCUGGCUUUGCCAGGACAAGUACAGUGGCGGACGGGUGCGUAUCGCGUAGAUAACCUGCCCUCAGGCGCGGGACAAUCACGGGAAGCCGUGGCUAAUACCGCACGUCGUCUGGACCCCGCAUGGGGACCAGAUGAAAGCCUUCGGGCGCCUUUGGAUGGGUCUGCGUUGGAUUAGCUUGUUGGUGAGGUAACGGCUCACCAAGGCAACGAUCCAUAGCUGGUCUGAGAGGACGAUCAGCCACACUGGGACUGAGACACGGCCCAGACUCCUACGGGAGGCAGCAGUGGGGAAUCUUGCACAAUGGGGUCACCCCUGAUGCAGCCAUGCCGCGUGGAGGAAGACACCCCUAUGGGGCGUAAACUCCUUUUCUGAAUGAAGAAACCCCUGUAGGUUCAGGGCGCGACGGUAGUUCAGGAAUAAGCACCGGCUAACUCCGUGCCAGCAGCCGCGGUAAUACGGAGGGUGCAAGCGUUGUCCGGAAUCACUGGGUGUAAAGGGUGUGCAGGCGGGGCAGCAAGUCGGAUGUGAAACCCCAUGGCUUAACCAUGGAGGUGCAUUCGAAACUGUUGCUCUUGAGUCCCGGAGAGGCUGUCGGAAUUCGUGGUGUAGCGGUGAAAUGCGUAGAUAUCACGAGGAACACCAGAGGCGAAAGCGGACAGCUGGACGGGUACUGACGCUCAGGCACGAAAGCGUGGGGAGCAAACAGGA
rnacentral:rRNA from 1 species